AGUUAAUGAAAAUAUUGACUUAAAAAUAUUUACUACCACUAAUAACACCCCCUCCUAAGGGGCAGGCCACAGGUUCGACUCCUGUCGGGAGCGCCA
rnacentral:tRNA from 1 species